CGGCUAAUUCCGUGCCAGCAGCCGCGGUAAUACGGGAGUGGCAAGCGUUAUCCGGAAUUAUUGGGCGUAAAGCGUCCGCAGGCGGCCCUUCAAGUCUGCUGUUAAAAAGUGGAGCUUAACUCCAUCGUGGCAGUGGAAACUGUUGGGCUAGAGUGUGGUAGGGGCAGAGGGAAUUCCCGGUGUAGCGGUGAAAUGCGUAGAUAUCGGGAAGAACACCAGUGGCGAAGGCGCUCUGCUGGGCCAUAACUGACGCUCAUGGACGAAAGCCAGGGGAGCGAAAGGGAUUAGAUACCCCUGUAGUCCUGGCCGUAAACGAUGAACACUAGGUGUCGGGGGAAUCGACCCCCUCGGUGUCGUAGCCAACGCGUUAAGUGUUCCGCCUGGGGAGUACGCACGCAAGUGUGAAACUCAAAAGAAUAGACGGGGGCCCGCACAAGCGGUGGAGUAUGUGGUUUAAUUCGAUGCAACGCGAAGAACCUUACCAGGGUUUGACAUCCUGCGAAUCUCCUGGAAACGGGAGAGUGCCUUCGGG
rnacentral:rRNA from 1 species